rnacentral:rRNA from 1 species
AUUGAACGCUGGCGGCAGGCUUAACACAUGCAAGUCGAGCGGAGAUGAGGUGCUUGCACCUUAUCUUAGCGGCGGACGGGUGAGUAAUGCUUAGGAAUCUGCCUAUUAGUGGGGGACAACAUUCCGAAAGGAAUGCUAAUACCGCAUACGUCCUACGGGAGAAAGCAGGGGAUCUUCGGACCUUGCGCUAAUAGAUGAGCCUAAGUCGGAUUAGCUAGUUGGUGGGGUAAAGGCCUACCAAGGCGACGAUCUGUAGCGGGUCUGAGAGGAUGAUCCGCCACACUGGGACUGCGACACGGCCCAGACUCAUACGGGAGGCGGCAGUGGGGAGUAUUGGACAAUGGGGGGAACCCUGAUCCAGCCAUGCCGCGUGUGUGAAGAAGGCCUUAUGGUUGUAAAGCACUUUAAGCGAGGAGGAGGCUACUGAGACUAAUACUCUUGGAUAGUGGACGUUACUCGCAGAAUAAGCACCGGCUAACUCUGUGCCAGCCGCCGCGGUAAGAC